GUGGAUGUCAGUUAGAUUUUACACUUAUAUUUAUAUAACGUUUUAUACAAACUCAACGCAAAAUGGAGAUUAUGGGGAUGAUGCAGUCAAAAGAAUCAAUGGAGUUUCAACUGGCGAUGAACACCAGCAUGUUCAAAGAGGGCAAUGACGACUGGAAAAAGCGCCGAGCCAUUCCGCUGUCCCAAACGACGUUCCCUCGAAGCCCAGAUUCCAGCAUAAUGAACGUGCAAAGAGAGGAAGAUCACACCAGAAUAUUCGCCUCAUUGGUGCCCGAUGAAGUCAUCUACCAUAUCCACGACUAUUCCAGACGCAAUUUCGAUGCCUGCUUACUAUUUGGGGAUGUUUCCGGUUUCACCGAUUUGUGCGAAAAGUACAACAAAACUGGAAAGGGCGGCCCAUCCAAACUCACCCAAGUCCUCAACAGCUACAUCGGAGCAAUGGUGCAAGAAAUCCUGUCGCAUGAUGGGGAUGUUUUCAAGUUCUCCGGCGACGCUUUCAUCGCCCUGUGGAAAGUGACCGAUAAUCUUUCCAUGAAGGAUGCAGUGCACGAAGCCAUCGAUUGUUCGCUGGUUAUCCAGAAGACCUAUGGAAGGUACCAAGCAGACCAGGACGUGAUUAUUCGAGUCAAGCUGGCAAUUUCGGCUGGAAAUCUCACGUUCUCCUUGCUGGGGGACAUGGAGAAUUCGUAUUAUUUCGUCUUUGGCCCGCCCGUUCUGGACCUCAAAGCUGCAGAGUCGCAAAGCUUUGCCGGGGAUAUUAUUAUAACGAAAACCGCUUGGCAACAUGUCAGUCCCAAUGAGUAUCUAGCUGAAGAACUGCGAGAUGGAAUGCAUGCAAAGAUUUACGGCGUCGGCCCCAACUGGAGGAAUAUCCAAAGAGCCACUCAAUUCAACAAAGAUGAUGCCGCCAACUUCAUCCAGUCUUCAACCGAUGAAAAGAUCAGCGACGUGAGUAUAGAAGGUGAUGAAGAAAUGGAUGAUACGUCAGCAACUCCUUCAGUGGCGGAUUUGCCGAGAGGCUCAGUCGACACUACAAUUUCAGUGAGCGGCCAAGUCUUCAAUACUGCCAGUGAUCAAUACGCCUUGCGACCAUCAGUGAACAUGUGCUUAAGAUUGCGGAUGUUGAAGGACCUGAAGAAAUUCAUCAUUUCCCCGGUGGAACGAGGCGUGAUGGCCGAUGAGCCCAUAGAGUAUCUAACGGAAAUCCGUCAAGUCACAAUCCUGUUCAUCAACUGCAAAAUCAAUAUCAGCGCCGAUCUAAAGUCGGCCCAAGUUAUUGAUAUUGCUGAUGAAGCUUUUGUUAACGUCAGCAAACUGGUGAAAGAAAAGUACGGCUGCUUAAACAAACUGAACAUGUUCGACAAGGAUCUGCUGAUGCUGGUGAUUUUCGGCCUUCGCGGCCUGAAGCAUGAGAUGGAGUGCCAAACGGCAUUGAAAUGCGCCAAAGAAUGCUACGAGAGUCUGGUGAAAAUUCCCCAUAUGGCUGGUGUUGGAGUGGCGGUUACAACUGGUAAAACGCGAGGUUUAGUGGGCUUUAAACACCCGGGAUCCUCCGCAGGAAAAACCUACUGUGGGGCCUUUGGCCACACCUUGAGGCGUGAAUACACCGUGAUUAGUUUGAUCGUAAAUAAGGCUGCACGUUUGAUGGUCGCCUAUCCGAACAAAGUGACAUGCGAUAGGGAAACUUUCCUGCACAGCAAAUUGGAGGCGAGGAACUUUAUCUUGCAGGAGUACAAGCCGUUGAAGGGGAUUAUCAAUCCGGGGCCGAUUUACGAAUUUAAGGAAGUUGAAAGCACGCGAGAAGUGGCAUUAACAGUGUCAAUGCGACCUCUUUUGGGCCGAGGACAAGAAAUUGGUUUAUACCUGCACCUGUACAAAACAGCCAGGGAUCGUGCCAAACAGAAUAGCACAGAAAAUGAGGAGUUUUUCGGAAUCCUGGUCAUACAGGGCGAGUCUCGGCAAGGCAAAACGCGCCUCCUGGAAGAGCUGAUUUAUACCACCGACUCCCAAACGCCGAUUUGCCGAUUUACUUUGACGAAAACCGACUCAAAAACUCCAUAUGCAUCAAUUAGACUGAUGUUCAAUCCUCUGUUGUCCCUAACGGAAAAAUCGUCCACAUCUGAGCGCGAAAUGAAGAUAUUGAAGCGUCUGCGGAAGCACCAGAUGGAAAAAGAAGCGUAUUGCCUAAAUGAUAUAUUCAAUGUGAAUUUCAAGACUGCCCAACAGUACACCAACCUGAACAACAAGGCCAAGUACAAGAUACUGAAAAAUGUGUUCAGGAACUUCUGCCAGGGCGUGUUUGGCGUGUUUUGGGUCAUCGCCAUUGAUAAUGCGGAAUUCAUCGACAACGAGUCCUGGGUGUUGAUAAGCAUUCUAUAUAGAAUGAAGCUGAUUUUCAUCGUGGCUACAAUGGGGCUGCGCAGCAUGCUGACGCCAGUGGCCAUGGAAGUGUUGCGGAUGCCCAAAAUCAAGAUCGUCCAGAUGAAAUGCAUUGAUAAGUGGUAUCAUGUGGGCCUGGCCUGCCAAAUGCUUGAUGUGGACGCAAUUCCUGCGGAAUUGGAGAAAGUCAUUCAGUCUAGGAGUAACGGCAAUCCUGGAUGGGUGGAAAGUUUCCUGAUCAGUCUUCUGCAGUCUGCCGGUUUGUUCAUCAAAACCGUAACUAGGAAGUUGGCUUAUGAGAGCGGAUUGGUAAUUCCUCCACUGUAUAUGAUGAUAAGACUAUCCGAGCAAGAAAAGGACCUAUGGAUUGAGAUAAUGGAAGAAGGCAAAGCCCAACCAUCAGACACCUUUUCCAAGUGGAAAAUGUACGUGGACAGUUGCAGGGAAAGUUAUCCUGAUCUCACAGUGGCCAAAUCCCUGAACGACAAAUUCGACUUGAACGCCACCAUCAAAGUGUGCGUCCUGAACCCCACGUUCAACAUCGACGAAGUCGAUCCAGAACUUUCGAUGGACGUGAUCAUCUUGAAGACUUUCGACUCGCUGACGUCCUACGAACAGUUGCUGAUCAAGUGCAGCGCUAUUCUGGGCGAUAUUUUCCCCAGGGACAUGCUCAUGUACAUCAUGUCUUCAUCGGCGGUUAGACUCACGGCUCUUGCGGUGAAAAAACUGUUCGAGAUCCAUGUGAUCAGCUGCGCAAGGGGAAACUUCAUUGAAGGAGGGCUCAUUUUCAAGGAGCGACUGAAGAACCCGAAUGAAGAGACUGAAGUUACCUGCGAGUGCAAAGGGCUGAUAAUCGAUGAAAAUUGCCAGGAUCUGCCCAAAUACGCCUCCUGCGGCUAUAUGAGAUUCCUGUCGACGACUUUCAGGGAAACCACAUACAAUCUUCUGACCGAUAAUCAGAAGCGGGAGUUUCAUGCACGCGCCAUCAGAUACCUGGAGAAGGAAACGCGCAAGUGUCGGGCAUGCGGCAAUGGAUAUUUCACCAAGUAUAUGGGAAAUCGCCUGGACUAUGAUCUGAAGCAUUUGAGGAGGAAGAAAAAGAAGAGGUUCGAGAGGAAGCAGGCGCUUUCAGUGGAUCAGAUCAGCAACACGACUGGGGGCCCUCAACGAGAAAGUGACACGUUGCGUUUCUCCAUUUACAGUGGAGGCAGUGGGUUGUCGGAUCCGCUAGGGAACCGCGCGACGAAAGACUCAGCAGGAACAAGCCACGCGCUUCCCUCUUCCAUUGGUGCCUCCCAUAUGUCGGAGUACUUUCAACUGUCCACCUCCAAAAGCUUCGACUCUGACAUAGAAUCUGACUUUCAAAUGAUUGACGCUGGAAUGGGGUUCAGAACAAUAAAAAAGUACAAGAACGACUACAAUAUCACAAAGGCAUUUUCCGAUGCCGACUUCAGCCAGUGCACUUGUCAGCUUAUUUUGACCACCAUGUACACGCAAAUGAUCGAGCACUGCAGUGGCGCUGGCCUGGUGGAGAAAAUGAUGAACGCAAUGAUAGACUUCUGUUACGUCUGUAUUGAGUCGCAAAAUGUUCCGCAGACUUUGAAAAUUUUGGACGAAGCCCUCGAUCUUCUGGAUGGCCCUCUGCGCCACACGCUGGAACUGGAUUGGAUGGCCAUAUUGAAAAGAGGCAAACUCUACUCCAUCAUGGGAUACGCGCGGAUUAAGUUGGGCCACUACGAGGAAGGUUACAAGCAUCUACUGGACGCCCUGGAUUGCUACGGAGUAAAGUUCCCAGUGAACUCCCUAUCGCUUUACCUACAAAAGGCCAAUUUGAGCUUGCAACAGGACAUGUCCCUGUACUGUUGCCCAUCAUUUUUCGUUGGAAAGGGCACCGAUGAUGAUGUGUCCAACUACUGCAACGACGUGGCGGAAUCUUUGAUCUACAUGUUCGAAUAUUACAAGUGCAAACAGCUGUGGAAUCACGCAAAACUGGCAGCGUUGUGGGCCCUGAAGAAGGCUCGCACCUCCGAAACGGAUUUUGCGUUGCUGUGCUUGGGCUACGCGAACAUGAUCAAUGUUUGCACGCAUUUCGGCGAGCAGAAGCAAAAUGUGGCUUUGGAGGUGUUCGCUUUCGAGCUGUGCCAAAGGAAGAAAACAACGGUGGAACGCGAGGAGUUGAAGGCUGUUUCCAAGCUGUACGAUGCGAUAUUUGUGGCCAGGGCUUGUAGAGGUGAAGUGGAAAAGUCCAUCCAUAUCGGAUAUUUGCUGUGGCGCAUCAGUUCCUCCACGCACAUGACUUUUAUCCUGCUCAGCCUGCUUCCAGUGCUAGUGCUGCUGAUUUUGAUGCGAAAGCACAUCAAUGAAGCCGGCAAUCUGAUGCAGGAAAUCCUGCUAGUCGCUGCUGAAGACAUUGAUAUUUCUGGCAGGUGCUGGUACUAUGCGCUUUGUGUGACUUUUCACCUGGAAACUGGACUAGUCAUCGCUCCAUUCCACGCAUGUUUAUCCUUCAGUCAAGGGGAUGGAAAAGAGCCAGCAAUCCGAGACCCGGACGCUAAAACCAGACUUACCAUCGCGAUAUGGUUGUGGAACGUGCGUUCGGAAAACUGGGAAGGCGCCUUUAUCUGGGAGGAAGAAGUGAUGAGUUUUUCUCUGAAACCCGAAGGGGAAAAUUUGGAAAACCUUCUAACCGGCCUGUAUUUCCUGGAAGGGCUGAUUGUGAUGAUGGUGCGGAAAAUGGACAGGAAGAACAUCCAGAUGGCCGAAAUUCUUCAGCGGAGGAUCGAGCGGUUGUUCACGCUGAUGUUCAAAGCCGGAAAAUCGGUGAAGAUCAUUUUGCCUCGCCUUUACCAUCUGAAAGCCUAUUUCCAUGUGUGUUUGACGAACAAAUACAACGAAACGUUCAAAAUCAUGAAAAAGGCCACUGCGGCCGCCCUGAAAUAUGGAAACGACAUGGAAGUUUCCUGGAUAAGCCACAAUGAGCAAGCUUGGUGUAAUAAGUUGUCGCGCGCCGAAAAGAACUUCUGGCGUUUUCACGCCGAAGAGGAAAAUCACAUUGAGUACAAUGAAGCCGAUGAAUUCACCGAGAAGUUUGGUCAUUUCUCGUUGCCAAUACCCAUUUAUCUGUAGCCGUUAUACAAAAUCUCAUCAAGUGCUCGAAAAUUGCCGUCCAAUCAUCGCGCUAAAAACUGUUAAACCAUACAAGUUUGCUGGAAGAUUUAUGGCUCACACCCUUGGAAUUCUUCAGUAAUUUCCAUCCAGGAUUUUACGGUUGGGCGCCUGUAACCCAUCGUAAGCAGCCGAGUUAUUUGUACAUGUCAUAAUUUACUAUUUCGGGAUCGGGCAGGAAAUGUGUUAAUUUGCUCGUUUUAAACUACUAUGCGCUCUUUUGUUGGCUUCCUACAGGCAAUUUUCAUUGGCUGCAGAUGGAGGAGAUUACUUGGCAAUGACGAUUAGAUUGAUAUCUUAUCAAAAUCCUUUCUAGUCUCAGUUUGUUGAAGGUUUGGAAUGAGCAGUAGAAAAUAAAGUUUUGGGCCCCCUAAAUUGGAUGUGAACAAUCAGGGAAUUAGCGCCUGCAAACAAUGAAUUGCAGGCGUCAUAUUUCGAUAAUGGCGAAUUAACGAACACGCUUGCGACACUAAAGCGCUACCAUUGUAGCACUGUCGGCCCCAUUGUUUUGCCGUCAAUCAGCAACGACAGGCGGGGGCCCCAAGCUCGCUCACUUUUAAAAUCCAGCCAAAUGUCCAUGGAAAAAAUGGUUUCAUUGAAGCCAGACUGUUCAAAAUUACUAUUUUCUUAGUGUUUAAUGUCUCAAAAUAGGCAAGUUUGGGGUGCACACAAGCACGGUUUCUCCAUAGGUUCAAAGGCGCAGUGAACAUCCUGUCUAAAUACACACAAAAAAAUACAUUUUAGUUUCAAAAGAA
rnacentral:misc_RNA from 1 species